rnacentral:rRNA from 1 species
GAUGAACGCUGGCGGCGUGCCUAAUACAUGCAAGUCGAGCGAACGGACGAGAAGCUUGCUUCUCUGAUGUUAGCGGCGGACGGGUGAGUAACACGUGGAUAACCUACCUAUAAGACUGGGAUAACUUCGGGAAACCGGAGCUAAUACCGGCUAAUAUUUUGAACCGCAUGGAUCAAAAGUGAAAGACGGUCUUGCUGUUACUUAUAGACGGAUCCGCGCUGCAUUAGCUAGUUGGUAAGGUAACGGCUUACCAAGGCAACGAUGCAUAGCCGACCUGAGAGGGUGAUCAGCCACACUGGAACUGAGACACGGUCCAGACUCCUACGGGAGGCAGCAGUGGGGAAUCUUCCGCAAUGGGCGAAAGCCUGACGGAGCCACGCCGCGUGAGUGAUGAAGGUCUUCGGAUCGUAAAACUCUGUUAUUAGGGAAGAACAUAUGUGUAAGUAACUGUGCACAUCUUGACGGUACCUAAUCAGAAAGCCACGGCUAACUACGUG